AUCGGCAAUUUUCGCCGAGUCCGGGAAAUAGGCCCGUCCCCCGCCUGAACCGGACAUUGCGGGAGCCUCAUCCCCCUCUCCGGGCUCCCGCAUCGUUUCGAGUAAGGCCGCCGUGGUUCCCCUCCACCACGGCGGCACU
rnacentral:sRNA from 1 species